GAGAAAUGGCAGAGUGGUCGAUUGCGGCAGUCUUGAAAACUGUUGUACCUUCGGGUACCAGGGGUUCGAAUCCCUUUUUCUCC
rnacentral:tRNA from 1 species